GACGAACGCUGGCGGCGUGCUUAACACAUGCAAGUCGAACGAAGAGCGAUGGAAGCUUGCUUCUAUCACUCUUAGUGGCGAACGGGUGAGUAACGCGUAAUCAACCUGCCCUUCAGAGGGGGACAACAGUUGGAAACGACUGCUAAUACCGCAUACGAUCUAAUCUCGGCAUCGAGGAUAGAUGAAAGGUGGCCUCUACAUGUAAGCUAUCACUGAAGGAGGGGAUUGCGUCUGAUUAGCUAGUUGGAGGGGUAACGGCCCACCAAGGCGAUGAUCAGUAGCCGGUCUGAGAGGAUGAACGGCCGCAUUGGGACUGAGACACGGCCCAGACGCCUACGGGAGGCAGCAGUGGGGAAUCUUCCGCAAUGGACGAAAGUCUGACGGAGCAACGCCGCGUGAGCGAUGACGGCCUUCGGGUUGUGAAGCUCUGUUAAUCGGGACGAAAGGCCUUCUUGCGAAUAGUGAGAAGGAUUGACGGUACCGGAAUAGAAAGCCACGGCUAACUACGUG
rnacentral:rRNA from 1 species